rnacentral:tRNA from 1 species
GGGCGGAUGGCGGAAUUGGUAGACGCACCGCACUCAAAAUGCGGCGGGGAAACCCUUGCGAGUUCGAGUCUCGCUCUGCCCA